rnacentral:rRNA from 1 species
AACGAACGCUGGCGGCAGGCUUAACACAUGCAAGUCGAGCGCCCCGCAAGGGGAGCGGCAGACGGGUGAGUAACGCGUGGGAAUCUCCCCAUCUCUACGGAAUAACGCAUGGAAACGUGUGAUAAUCCCGUAUACGUCCUUCGGGAGAAAGAUUUAUCGGAGAUGGAUGAGCCCGCGUUGGAUUAGCAAGUUGGUGGGUUAAAGGCCUACGAAGGCGACGAUCCAGAGCUGGUCUGAGAGGAUGAUCAGCCAGACUGGGACUGAGACACGGCCCAGACUCCUACGGGAGGCAGCAGUGGGGAAUAUUGGACAAUGGGCGCAAGCCUGAUCCAGCCAUGCCGCGUGAGUGAUGAAGGCCCUAGGGUUGUAAAGCUCUUUCACCGGUGAAGAUAAUGACGGUAACCGGAGAAGAAGCCCCGGCUAACUUCGUGCCAGCAGCCGCCGUAACAC